rnacentral:rRNA from 1 species
UGAGGAAUAUUGGUCAAUGGACGAGAGUCUGAACCAGCCAAGUAGCGUGCAGGAUGACGGCCCUAUGGGUUGUAAACUGCUUUUGUUUGGGAAUAAUCGACAUUACGUGUAAUGUUUUGCAUGUACCAUUCGAAUAAGGACCGGCUAAUUCCGUGCCAGCAGCCGCGGUAAUACGGAAGGUCCAGUCGUUACCCGGAUUUAUUGGGUUUAAAGGGAGUGUAGGCGGUUGGUUAAGCGUGUUGUGAAAUGUAGAUGCUCAACAUCUGACUUGCAGCGCAAACUGGAUGACUUGAGUACACACAACGUAGGCGGAAUUCAAGGUGUAGCGGUGAAAUGCUUAGAUAUCAUGAAGAACACCGAUUGCGAAGGCAGCUUACGGGAGUAUUACUGACGCUUAAGCUCGAAAGUGCGGGUAUCGAACAGG